rnacentral:rRNA from 1 species
UGGGGAAUAUUGGACAAUGGGGGCAACCCUGAUCCAGCCAUGCCGCGUGUGUGAAGAAGGCCUUCGGGUUGUAAAGCACUUUUAUCCGGAACGAAAAGCCAUCGGUUAAUAACCGGUGGUGCUGACGGUACCGGAAGAAUAAGCACCGGCUAACUUCGUGCCAGCAGCCGCGGUAAUACGAAGGGUGCAAGCGUUACUCGGAAUUACUGGGCGUAAAGCGUAUGUAGGCGGUUUGCUAAGUCUGAUGUGAAAGCCCCGGGCUCAACCUGGGAAUGGCAUUGGAUACUGGUGAGCUAGAGUACGGUAGAGGAGAGUGGAAUUCCCGGUGUAGCAGUGAAAUGCGUAGAGAUCGGGAGGAACAUCAAUGGCGAAGGCAACUCUCUGGACCAGUACUGACGCU